AACGAACGCUGGCGGCGUGGAUAAGACAUGCAAGUCGAACGGGAUCAUUGGAGUAGCAAUACAACAGUGGUCUAGUGGCGAACGGGUGCGUAACACGUGGAUACAUUCCGGGAAGCGGGGGAUAGCCCAGGGAAACUUGGAUUAAUACCGCAUGUGGUCGAAAGACUAAAGGCAGGGACCGCAAGGCCUGCCACUUCCCGAUUGGUCCGCGGCCUAUCAGCUAGUUGGCGGGGUAAAAGCCCACCAAGGCUACGACGGGUAGCUGGUCUUAGAGGACGACCAGCCACACUGGAACUGAGACACGGUCCAGACACCUACGGGUGGCAGCAGUCGAGAAUCUUUCACAAUGGGGGCAACCCUGAUGGAGCGACGCCGCGUGGAGGAUAAGGUCUUCGGGUUGUAAAGCUCUUUUUGUCAGGGAAGAAACGGUUGUGGCUAAUAUCCAUGGCUAAUGACGGUACCUGAAGAAUAAGCACCGGCUAACUACGUGCCAGCAGCCGCGGUAAU
rnacentral:rRNA from 1 species